rnacentral:snRNA from 1 species
AGCCCCACGGUGGGCGCC